AAUGAGCACUUGAUUAAAGGUUCUUUGCAAGAUUAAUAGGGAAUGCCUAUUGGCAGCUGUCCCCGCAACUGUAAACAGCGAGUUAAUCGCCUGAAACCACUGGAUUUUCUGGGAAGGUGGCGAUAACGUUUGAGCUGGAAGCCAGUAGACCUACCUUAAUCAAUAAACCUGA
rnacentral:ncRNA from 2 species